GUGGCGCCGGACCGGCCUGUGGCGCCGGACCGGCCUGUGGCGCCGGACCGGCCUGCGGCGACGGCCGGGCCGGUACCGUCGCCGGCGCCGCAACG
rnacentral:tRNA from 1 species